rnacentral:rRNA from 1 species
GACGAACGCUGGCGGCGUGCCUAAUACAUGCAAGUAGAACGCUGAAGGAGGAGCUUGCUUCUCUGGAUGAGUUGCGAACGGGUGAGUAACGCGUAGGUAACCUGCCUGGUAGCGGGGGAUAACUAUUGGAAACGAUAGCUAAUACCGCAUAAUAUUGACUAUUGCAUGAUAGUCAGUUGAAAGGUGCAACUGCACCACUACCAGAUGGACCUGCGUUGUAUUAGCUAGUUGGUGGGGUAACGGCUCACCAAGGCGACGAUACAUAGCCGACCUGAGAGGGUGAUCGGCCACACUGGGACUGAGACACGGCCCAGACUCCUACGGGAGGCAGCAGUAGGGAAUCUUCGGCAAUGGACGGAAGUCUGACCGAGCAACGCCGCGUGAGUGAAGGAGGUUUUCGGAUCGUAAAGCUCUGUUGUAAGAGAAGAACGAGUGUGAGAGUGGAAAGCUCACACUGUGACGGUAGCUUACCAGAAAGGGACGGCUAACUACGUG